rnacentral:rRNA from 1 species
UGACUNGAGUGCAGAAGGGGAGAGUGGAAUUCCAUGUGUAGCGGUGAAAUGCGUAGAUAUAUGGAGGAACACCAGUGGCGAAAGCGGCUCUCUGGUCUGUCACUGACGCUGAGGCUCGAAAGCGUGGGUAGCGAACAGGAUUAGAUACCCUGGUAGUCCACGCCGUAAACGAUGAGUGCUAGGUGUUAGGCCCUUUCCGGGGCUUAGUGCCGGAGCUAACGCAAUAAGCACUCCGCCUGGGGAGUACGACCGCAAGGUUGAAACUCAAAGGAAUUGACGGGGGCCCGCACAAGCGGUGGAGCAUGUGGUUUAAUUCGAAGCAACGCGAAGAACCUUACCAGGUCUUGACAUCCCGAUGCUAUUCUUAGAGAUAGGAAGUUACUUCGGUACAUCGGAGACAGGUGGUGCAUGGUUGUCGUCAGCUCGUGUCGUGAGAUGUUGGGUUAAGUCCCGCAACGAGCGCAACCCUUAUUGUUAGUUGCCAUCAUUAAGUUGAGCACUCUAGCGAGACUGCCGGUAAUAAACCGGAGGAAGGUGGGGAUGACGUCAAAUCAUCAUGCCCCUUAUGACCUGGGCUACACACGUGCUACAAUGGUCGGUACAACGAGUUGCGAGCCGGUGACGGCAAGCUAAUCUCUGAAAGCCGAUCUCAGUUCGGAUUGGAGGCUGCAACUCGCCUCCAUGAAGUCGGAAUCGCUAGUAAUCGCGGAUCAGCACGCCGCGGUGAAUACGUUCCCGGGCCUUGUACACACCGCCCGUCACACCACGAGAGUUUGUAACACCCGAAGUCGG